rnacentral:lncRNA from 1 species
AUUUUCCUUAUUCAGAAUUACCCACUGUGAAAAGCCUUGUCAACAGGCCAUCUGUCAAAAACAAUCGGCAGCAGCUGGGUUACCUGAGGUGGUCAUCACAGCAGGGGGAGCCAAAGGCCAGGGUCCUGCCCCAGGCAUGCUUGGCAGGAUGGCUGCACCUGCUAAAGAGACACCUGCUAAAGAGACACCCUUCUCCCUUGAUCCAGGCAGAAAGAGACAAAUGGUGAGAAAGCCUCUUGCUUAGCAUAGCUCUGUUAAAGAAGAGCUUUCCGCAAUAGAUCCCACUGAGUCAUGAAGCAGUUAGUUAGCCGGUUCAGGGUCUUGCAAUGAAUCAGACACAGCUCCUACUGGUGGACCUCUCAGUCAAGUGAUUUUCAGCCCUGAAGCCCAACAACUCUUAAAACAAAACAAAACAAAACAAAAAACUGACCUGGGACGCCUGGGUGGCUCAGAUGGCUAAGCAGCUGCCUUCGGCUCAGGUCAUAAUCCCAGCGUCCUGGGAUUGAGUCCCACAUCGGGCUCCUUGCUCAGCUGGAAGCCUGCUUCUCCCUCUGCCUCUGCCUCUGCCUGCCACUCUGUCUGCCUGUGCUCAUUCUCUCUGAC